GGAGUUAGCCGGUGCUUCUUCUGUGAGUGAUGUCCUUCCUGCCGGCUAUUAACCCGCAGGCCUUCUUCCUCACUGAAAGUGCUUUACAACCCGAAGGCCUUCUUCACACACGCGGCAUGGCUGGAUCAGGGUUGCCCCCAUUGUCCAAUAUUCCCCACUGCUGCCUCCCGUAGGAGUCUGGGCCGUGUCUCAGUCCCAGUGUGGCUGAUCAUCCUCUCAGACCAGCUACGGAUCGUCGCCUUGGUGAGCCGUUACCUCACCAACCAGCUAAUCCGACAUAGGCUCAUCCGAUAGCGCGAGGCCCGAAGGUCCCCCGCUUUCCCCCGUAGGGCGUAUGCGGUAUUAGCCUGGGUUUCCCCCAGGUUAUCCCCCACUACCGGGCAGAUUCCUAUGCAUUACUCACCCGUCCGCCGCUCGCCACCAGGGAGCAAGCUCCCCGUGCUGCCGCUCGACUUGCAUGUGUUAGGCCUGCCGCCAGCGUUCAAUCUGACCAAGAUCAAAUUCUGA
rnacentral:rRNA from 1 species